GAUGAAGAACGUAGCGAAAUGCGAUAAGUAAUGCGAAUUGCAGAAUUCCGUGAGUCAUCGAAUCUUUGAACGCACAUUGCGCCCCCUGGUAUUCCGGGGGGCAUGCCUGUCCGAGCGUCAUUGCUGCCCAUCAAGCACGGCUUGUGUGUUGGGUCCCGUCCCCCUCUCCCGGGGGACGGACCCGAAAGGCAGCGGCGGCACCGCGUCCGGUCCUCGAGCGUAUGGGGCUUUGUCACCCGCUCUUGUAGGCCCGGCCGGCGCUUGCCGACACCCAACCAUUUUUUUCAGGUUGACCUCGGAUCAGGUAGGGAUACCCGCUGAACUUAAGCAUAUCAAAAGCGGAGGA
rnacentral:misc_RNA from 1 species